UUUGAAGCAGCUGGACCUGGGACGCAAUAAGAUUCAUGAUGCAGGAGUUCAGUAUCUCUCAGACCUCCUCAAGAAUCCCUACUGCAAACUCGAGACACUAAAGCUAGAGCUUUGUUCCCUCAGAGAGAAGAGUUGUGCUGCUUUAGCAUCAGCUGCCAGAUCAACCGCCUGCUGUUUGAUUCAGCUGAACCUGGGACGCAAUAAGAUUCAUGAUGCAGGAGUUCAACAUCUCUCAGACCUCCUCAAGAAUCCACACUGCAAACUAGAGACACUAGUGCUAGAGCAUUGUUCCCUCACAGAGAAGAGCUGUGCUGCUUUAGCAUCAGCUGCCAGAUCAACCUCAUGUAGUUUGAAGCAGUUGAACCUGAGAAACAAUACGAUUCAUGAUGCAGGAGUUCAGCAUCUCUCAGACCUUCUCAAGAAUCCCCACUGCAAA